UACUCCUACGGGAGGCAGCAGUGGGGAAUUUUGGACAAUGGGCGCAAGCCUGAUCCAGCCAUGCCGCGUGCAGGAAGAAGGCCUUCGGGUUGUAAACUGCUUUUGUACGGAGCGAAAAGGCCCCUACUAACACUGGGGGUCCAUGACGGUACCGUAAGAAUAAGCACCGGCUAACUACGUGCCAGCAGCCGCGGUAAUACGUAGGGUGCAAGCGUUAAUCGGAAUUACUGGGCGUAAAGCGUGCGCAGGCGGUUUUGUAAGACAGAGGUGAAAUCCCCGGGCUCAACCUGGGAACUGCCUUUGUGACUGCAAAGCUGGAGUGCGGCAGAGGGGGAUGGAAUUCCGCGUGUAGCAGUGAGAUGCGCAGAUAUGCGGAGGAACACCGAUGGCGAAGGCAAUCCCCUGGGCCUGCACUG
rnacentral:rRNA from 1 species